CCAGGUGUUAUGGUGUGUGCUAUGUCUCCCUAGUUCCGGGACGUGAAAGGUAUAAAUACCAUGGGGUCCAGAUGUCGACGUGUUUGGUGCUUCUCCCUAUUAGUUCUGCGUACCGCGCCUCGGCCGUGUGUAUUUCCUCAAAUCUCUGUAGCCACUCCGUGACGGUCGGUGGUUGAGUCUGUUUCCAUUUGACUGGUAUAGAUGCUUUCU